rnacentral:RNase_MRP_RNA from 2 species
UCCUCGUCCGACCAAAUCGCCGUCGAAGCAUCAACGGAGACGGGCGGGGUCGUCUCGCUCGUCUCGACCAUACUUUGGCUUUGGGAGAAAGUCCCCGGACAGUCUCUUUUUUCGAAAGAAGAAAAAGCGCUGCAGAAAUGCGCCGCCGUAACGACACCUGCGGCUGAUCUCUGCCCAGACGAGGCUCUCACUUAUUCUCGUUUUGCUUCCCACACCCUUUUUCUCUUGGUUUUCUUCCUGCGACUCUUCUUCUUCCCGUUCCAGCCCUUCUUUUCCUGAGUCUGUUCCGCCGACUGGGGAGCCUUCCUCAUCCAUUCCAAACCCUUCUGUCGUUUCCUCUUCAUCUGCCCUUGCCACCCCGUUCGGCUUCCCAUUUUGCCUUGGACUGGAUUCCCCCUUUCUACCUGUUGUCUUGUCCCAAACUCGUUUUCUUUCUUGUUUUGUGUUUUUCGACUUUUCAUUUCCCGUCAAGUCUCUUCUGGUGCGGGUUGUGUUGUAUUCCGAUUCUCGUUUCGGGUCUUCGAGGGAGUUGUCUUGGUGAACACCGUUCUUCUUCUCCUUGUCUGCUUUCUGUUUUUGGGCGGCUGCUGCCCUCUUUUAUUUUCGCUUGGCCACAUGAAGGGCGGCCAGAGAUGGUACGCGAUCAAGGCAUUGCUUCGGGCGUCUUGGUGCUGUCGCUUUCGUCUACUUGGCUCUUGGUAUUUCUGUGACUUUUCGGCUUUUGCUCUAUGCAGUGGAUGGCACCACCUAUGGACGAAGAUAUGAGUCCGCUGUCAUUCUGCUGUGUGGACAGGACCGGAGGGUAGCAGUUAUACCGGGCCUUGUGGGUGGGAUGUCGGUAUCCAGUCCGUUUUGCAAUGCUGGCGUCCGUGCCGGAGGUCUCCUGGAUUGGCCUUUGUUGAAAGGAGGAGGUACCAGCGGCUCUCAAGGCGAAGAGUGGGUGAGGCAAAGUGGCGGUUACUAAGCUUGGCGGCGUUAGUAUCUCGAACGACUCAGAGGGGUUUAGGGCGUCACGGCUCGUGUUGUUGAGAUGGGAUCUUGGAAGCCGAUGAUCUUUAACGAAGAAAGCGGGGAGAUCUCAGAAGAAAAGGGGAAGUACAACCCUCUGUUGGAAAUGGAGGCUGGGGAGACGAGGCGGUUGAAAAGGAGGUAGGAGGGGGUUGAGGCCGGGCAAUGAUCCUGUGGCGGAGCAGGAGAGGGACGAGAUGGGUGGGUUGAAGAGGAUGAGGGGAUACCGUUUUGCAGAGAAAGGAUGGGCGGCGGAGGGGACGAGGGUCUCGGGCGGGGAGUGUUUCGUCCAUUUUUAUAGGCAUGCGAUUGCUCGCCAGAUGCAGAAAUGCCCCUCUGGCGAGUUACUCGAUGGGGCUUAUUCUCGGAGCGGGG